rnacentral:rRNA from 1 species
GAAUUAGUUUGAGCUAAAUAUGAUAUAAUAUUGGUUAUUUAAAUUGGUGUUGCAAAACCUUUCAUGAAAAAUCAUAUUUAGGGGUGAUAGGCCUUACAAAAACUAGGAUAUCUUGAUUCUAAUUAAAUGUAUUUAGUACAAUUAAUUCAAUUAUUAAGUGCUUAGGCUUAAUAAAUAUAUUAAUUUCUAUUAGUCCUUAUAUUAAGGUUUAGUAACUAAAUAUUUACAUCAACGUAGUAUAGAAUUAUUUAAAUUUAUAUUAAGUAAUUAGGAAUAGUUGAGCUCUAAUAACUUUAAAUAAUGUUUUUAUUAGUAUUAAUUAUAUAUUUUUGUAAUGAACUCGGCAAUCUACUUCUCAACUGUUUACCAAAAACAUAACUGUGUGCAUUAAUACAUAGCAUUUUCUGCUCAAUGAUCAUAUUAAAUAGCCGCAGUAUUUUGACUGUGCAAAGGUAGCAUAAUCAAUUGACUUAUAAUUGAAGUCUGGAAUGAAAGAAAGUAUGGGGAGUUUCUGUAUCAUAUAAAUAGUUUGAAUUUACUUAGGUGGUGAAAAUUCUCCCAGGAAAAUAAUAGACGAGAAGACCCUAGAAAAUUUAAGUAAUUUAUACAUAAUAUAUCAAUUUUUUGUUGGGGCGACAAAGUAGCAUGGAACCUAUUUAUUAUAACCGGCACCGUUUUUUUGUGAUUGAAGAAUUUACUCUAGGGAUAACAGCAUAAUAUUAAAAAGUUUGUGACCUCGAUGUUGGACUAGGAAAUAAUAGCCUAAAAGGUUUUUUAUAUAGCUCUGUUCGAGCAUAAGACUCCUACAUGAUC